rnacentral:rRNA from 1 species
AUUGAACGCUGGCGGCAGGCCUAACACAUGCAAGUCGAGCGAGCGACGGACGGGUGAGUAAUGUCUGGGAACCUGCCUGAUGGAGGGGGAUAACUACUGGAAACGGUAGCUAAUACCGCAUACCAUCGGAUGUGCACAGAUGGGAGUAGCUAGUAGGUGGGGUAAAGGCUCACCUAGGCGACGAUCCCUAGCUGGUCUGAGAGGAUGACCAGCCACACUGGAACUGAGACACGGUCCAGACUCCUACGGGAGUCAGCAGUGGGGAAUAUUGCACAAUGGGCGCAAGACUGAUGCAGCCAUGCCGCGUGUGUGAAUAAGGCCUUCGGGUUGUAAAGCACUUUCAGCGGGGAGGCGUUACCCGCAGAAGAAGCACCGGCUAACUCCGUGCCAGCAGCCGCGGUAAUUC